rnacentral:rRNA from 1 species
GACGAACGCUGGCGGCGUGCUUAACACAUGCGAGUCGAACGGUGAACGAGGGAGCUUGCUCCCUCCGGAUCAGUGGCGAAAGGGUGAGUAACACGUGAGCAAUCUGCCCCGAACUCUGGGAUAAGCGUUGGAAACGACGUCUAAUACCGGAUACGACGCGGGAGGGCAUCCUCUCCGCGUGGAAAGAACUUCGGUUCGGGAUGAGCUCGCGGCCUAUCAGCUUGUUGGUGAGGUAACGGCUCACCAAGGCGACGACGGGUAGCCGGCCUGAGAGGGUGACCGGCCACACUGGGACUGAGACACGGCCCAGACUCCUACGGGAGGCAUCGGUGGGAAAUAUUGCACAAUGAGCGCAAGCCUAAUGCAGCAACGCCGCGUGAGGGACGACGGCCUUCGGGUUGUAAACCUCUUUUAGCAGGGAAGGAGCGAAAGUGACGGUACCUGCCGAAAAAGCACCGGCUAACUACGUG